CAUUAUUUUAUUUAAUCACUCACACAUAUCGACACGUGCUCCGGGGUGCCCAAGGCUUAUGCGUAAGUCGGCCGUAAUCAGGUCAAGGGUCGGUAGCAUGGGGUAUGUGGACGCCUAAC
rnacentral:sRNA from 1 species